rnacentral:lncRNA from 9 species
UUUUUUUUUUUUUUUUUUUUUUUAGCUGCAGCACGUGAGAGUUCCUGGCCAGGGAAUCAAACCAGCACCUUGGGCAGCAACCUGAGCUGCAGCAGUGACAAAGCUGGAUCCUCAAUCCACCACACCACAAGGGAACUCCUAAUAUUACCGUUUUUAAAAAACUGAAGUAUAAUUGGUGUGAAACAUUGUGUUGGUUUCACAUGUAUAUUACCAUUUUGCCAAUGAAAAAAAUGCAGAGAGCCAGUAAGUAGUAGCAAAAGACAUUAAAUCCAGUUGGAGGGUCCCCAGAGUCUGGGGCUUGACCACCACUAAAGUCCCCCCAGCCCCUGCAUUAGAAUUGCCAGAGGUAUUUUGUUAAAAUGCAAGUUACUGAAACUACCCACGAAGUUUAGUUUGCACAAGUUCUUUCGGUAAGGUUUGAGAAUCACUAAACUAGUUGAGCUUUAGUUUUUAAGUACUUUUGUUUUCUGCAGUGAUUAAAGUUGGCUGUUCCCAUGGCCACUUGGUUGCAAUGUGACCUUGGGCAAAUUACUUUACCUCUCUGAGCUUCCAAUCCUCUUAGCAAAAACGAAAACAAAAUCCCAAAUACCUAUUCAUGGACUCUGAAUCUGACCAGUGACUUCUCUGACAGGCGUUUUUCCUCUUUUUUUUUUUUUUUUUUGCCACUCUGGCAUGAGGAAGUCCCAUCGUGGCUCAGCAGUAACAAACCUGACAGAUAUCCAUGAGGAUGUGGGUUCAAUUCCUGGUCUUGAUUAGUGGGUUAAGGAUCCGGCAUUGCCAUGAGCUGUGGUACAGGUCACAGAUGCAGCUUGGCUGUGGCUGGCAGUUGUAGCUCCAAUUCCACCUCUAGCCUGGGAACUUCCAUAUGCUGCAGGUGUGGCCCUAAAAAAGAAAAAAAAAAAAGUCUCAGGGUCAAAAAGUUCUUCAAUUUUUGAGUGUUUCAACCUUGUCCUCCUUUUUCAAAAUUGGUUUGGCUAUACAUCUCUAUUUUGUUUGUUUUUGUCGCUGGACUCGGGGGACAUGCAGAAGUUCCAGGGCCAAGGGUGAAACCCACAGCACAGCAGUGACCUGAGCUGCAGUAGUGACACCAGAUCCUUAACCUGCUAAGCCACCAGGGAACUCCUCUCUCUAUAUUUUGGAAUAAAACAUUGGGAUAAAUUUUGGAAUACAUAUACGACUUGGGAAUCUUUGCAUCUCUUAAAGGGGUGGAGUGUCAUCAGGAUUAAACAUCUUCUUGGAAACCUAGUAUCAUCCAUUAGCAAAACAGGACCAACUAGGUCACACUAUAGAGACUGAAAACUGUUAUGACUGAAUUGUGUCCCCCUAAAAAAGAUAUGUUAGGAGUUCCCAUCGUAUCUCAGCAGAAAUGAACCUGACUAGUAUCCAUGAGGACGCAGGUUUGAUCCCUAGCCUUCAUCGCCUUCAUCAGUGGGUUAAGAAUCUGGUGUUGCCGUGAGCUAAGCGAAGACAUGCCUUAGAUCCCAUGUUGCUGUGGCUGUGGUGUGGGCCAGUGGCUGUAGCUCUGAUUUGACCCCUAGCCUGGGAACCUCCAUAUGCUACGGGUACAGCCCUAAGAAGACAAAAAAAAAUAAAAUAAAAUAAAUAAAUAAAAUAAAAAUAAAAAAUAAAAAAAGGAGUUCCCGUUUUGGCACAGUAGUUAAUGAAUCCUACUAGGAACCAUGGGGUUGCGGGUUCGAUCCCUGCCCUUGCUCAGUGGGUUAAGGAUCUGGCGUUGCCAUGAGCUGUGGUGUGGGUCGUGGAUGCGGCUCGGAUCCUGUGCUGCUGUGGCUCUUGCGUAGGCUGGUGGCCACAGCCCCGAUUAGACCCCUAGCUUGGGAACCGAGGGAGUGGCUCAAGAAAAGGCUAAAAGACAAAAACAAAACAAAACAAGACAAAAAAAAAAGUACAUUAAAUUUCUAAUUCCCAGUGUGUCAGAGUGUGAUCUUAUUUGGAGAGAGUCUUUACAGAAGUAACCAGGUUAAAAUGAGGUCAAUAUGAUGAGCCCUAAUCCAGUGUGACUACUGUGCUAAUAAAAAGGGAAGAUUUGGACACAGAGGCACACCCAGAGAAAAGAUGAUAUGAAGAGACAUAGGAAGAAGAUGGCCAUCACUAGCCAAAGAGUGCCUGAGGCUUCCAGAAGCUGGGAGAGAGGCCUCGGUCAGACCUUCCCAUGGAGACUUCAAAGGGACCAUGUCCCUGCUCAUACUUUGAUUUCACAUUUCUAAAUAGUAAAUGCUAGAGAGAGGGUAGAGAAAAGGGAACCCCUUCCACAUGGUCGGUGGGAAAGCACUCAGUAUGGAAAACAGUUCAGAGGGUCCUCAAAAACCUUGGAGUUCCUGUCGUGGCUCAGUGGAAAUGAAUCUUACUAGCAUCCAUGAAGACUCAGGUUCAAUCCCUGGCUUCACUCAAGGGUUAAGGAUCCAGCAUUGCUGUAAGCUGUGGUGUAGGUCACAGACAUGGCUCAGAUAUGGCAUUGCUGUGGCUGUGGCACAGGCCAGUGGCUACAGCUUCAAUUCGAUCCCUAGCCUGGGAAUCUCCAUAUGUUGCGGGUGUGGCCCUGAAAAGAUAAAUAAAUAAAUAAAAGGUAAAAAAUUUAAAAAAGAAUGAAAUAAUGCCGUUUGUAGCAACAUGGAUGGGCCUAGAGAUCAUCAUACUAAGUGAAAUAAGUCAGAGAAAAACAAAUAACAUGUGAUAUCACCUAUAUGUGGAACCUAAAAAAAUGAUACAAAUGAACUUAUUACAAAACAGAAACAAGAGUUCCCUGGUGGUCUAGCAGUUAGGGAUCCUGCACUGCCACUGCUGUGACUUGGAUACAAGCUUCUAUCUAGGAGCUUGUGCAUGCUGUGGGUGUCGCCAAAAAAGAAAAAAAAACCCCAGAAACAAUGACUUAGAAAACAAACUUAUGUUUACCAACGGGGAAAGAUCAGGGGGAGGGAUAAAUUAGGAGUUUGGGAUUAACAUACAAACACUACUUUAUGAAAAAUAGAUAAUCAACAAGGACCUACUAUAUCCUGUUGAUCUCAUUCUGUAAUAAUCUUCAUGGGAAAAUAAUCUGAAAAAGAAUGGAUAUGUGUAUACAUAUAACUAAAUCACAUUGCUGUACACCUGAUACUAACACAACAUUGUAAAUCAACUAUGCUCCAGUAUUAGGAGUUCCCUCAUGGCCUGGUGGGUUAAGGAUCUGGCACUGUCACUGCAGCAGCUCAGGUUACGGCUGUGGUAAGGAUUCACUCCCUGGCCUGGGAACUUUUGCAUGCUUCGGGUACAGCCAAAAAACAUGAAAAUCAAAAAAAUAAUUAUACUCCAGUAUAAAAUAAAAAUUAAAUUGAAUUAAAAAAAAAACCACGGAGUUCCCGUCGUGGCGCAGUGGUUAAUGAAUCUGACUAGGAACCAUGAGGUUGCGGGUUCGGUCCCUGCCCUUGGUCAGUGGGUUAACGAUCCGGCGUUGCCGUGAGCUGUGGUGUAGGUUGCAGACGCGGCUCGGAUCCCGCGUUGCUGUGGCUCUGGCGUAGGCCGGUGGCUACAGCUCCGAUUCAACCCCUAGCCUGGGAACCUCCAUAUACCGCGGGAGCGGCCCAAGAAAUAGCAACAACAACAACAACAACAACAAAAGACAAAAAGACAAAAGACAAAAAAAAAAAAAAAAAAAAAAAAAAAA